AUUGAACGCUGGCGGCAGGCCUAACACAUGCAAGUCGAGCGAGAGGCGGACGGGGGAGUAAUGUGUGGGAAAAUGCCUGUGGGGGGGGGAUAAAUACUGGAAAAAGGAGCUAAAAUCGCAUACGAUCAGAGGUGUCCAGAUGGGGGUGGAGAGUAGGUGGGGUAACGGCUCACCUAGGCGACGCUCCCUAGCUGGUCUGAGAGGAUGACCAGCCACACUGGAACUGAGACACGGUCCAGACUCCUACGGGAGGCAGCAGUGGGGAAUAUUGCACAAUGGGCGCAAGCCUGAUGCAGCCAUGCCGCGUGUGUGAAGAAGGCCUUCGGGUUGUAAAGCACUUUCAGCGGGGAGGCGUUACCCGCAGAAGAAGCACCGGCUAACUCCGUGCCAGCAGCCGCGGUAAUUC
rnacentral:rRNA from 1 species